AAAAAAAACACAUGAAGUAAAAUCAUCAUCUUUCUUAUGAUGUUUGUGUUACAGAGAAUGUUUUGACACUUACUCGCAUGUUCCAGUGAUUGGUGGGAAAGGAGCAGGGAUGAAAGGAGUUGGUGGGCUUCCUCCGAUGAUGGGUGUGCCUGGAUCAAUGAUAGGAGUUGGUGGGCUUCCUCCAAUGAUGGGUGUGCCUGGAUCAAUGGGUGUUGGUGGAGUCACAACGACUGGAGUACUUGGUGGAGGAGAUGAGUAAUAUCCACCAGAAGGAGGGUGUGAAGGGGUUGGGCGUGAUGGCGUGGAAGGGUGGGAAGGAGUGGAAGGGUGAGAAGGUGGACUUCCACAGUUACAAGGAGGGGUGUGUGAGGGAGUGUGUGAUGGAGUUGGGGUGUGUGAUGGAGUGGAAGGAGUUGGAGUAUGUGAUGGAGUGGAAGGAGUUGGAGUAUGUGAUGGAGUUGAAGGGUGAGAUGGAGUUGAAGGGUGAGAUGGAGUUGAAGGGUGAGAUGGAGAUGAAGGAGUAGGGUCGUAAGGUGGACUUCCACAGUUAGAAGGAGGCGUGUGUGAUGGAGGAGUUCCAUGUGAGCCUGCAUGAGUUAAGUGAAAGAAUCUUAGUUGAGAUUCUUAUUAACAUAAAGUGAAU
rnacentral:lncRNA from 1 species